AACGAACGUUGGCGGCGUGGAUUAGGCAUGCAAGUCGAACGAGAAAGUUCCCUUCGGGGAAUGAGUAGAGUGGCGAACGGGUGAGUAACGCGUGGGAAACCUGCCUUCGAGCGGGGGAUAACAUCCCUAACGGGGUGCUAAUACCGCAUGACAUCGACGAAUCUCAUGGUUUGUCGAUCAAAGGUGGCCUCUGAUUUAAGCUACCACUCGAAGAUGGUCCCGCGUCCGAUUAGCUUGUUGGUGAGGUAACGGAUCACCAAGGCAUCGAUCGGUAGCUGGUCUGAGAGGAUGGUCAGCCACACUGGGACUGAGAUACGGCCCAGACUCCUACGGGAGGCAGCAGUCGAGAGGCUUCGGCAAUGGGGGAAACCCUGACCGAGCGACGCCGCGUGAGGGAUGACGCUCUUCGGGGUGUAAACCUCUUUUCUGGGGGAAGAAAAAUAUCAGGGCAAAUAGGCCUGAUAUCUGACGGUACUCCAGGAAUAAGCUCCGGCUAACUCCGUGCCAGCAGCUGCGGUAAUACGGGGGGAGCAAACGUUGUUCGGAAUCACUGGGCGUAAAGGGCGCGUAGGCGGCCCGGUAAGUGGUGUGUGAAAGCCCCUGGCUCAACCAGGGAACUGCGCACCAAACUGCCAGGCUUGAGGGCAGUAGAGGAAACUGGAAUUCCUGGUGUAGCGGUGAAAUGCGUAGAUAUCAGGAGGAACACCAUUGGCGAAGGCGAGUUUCUGGGCUGUCCCUGACGCUGAGGCGCGAAAGCUGGGGGAGCAAACAGGAUUAGAUACCCUGGUAGUCCCAGCUGUAAACGGUGAACACUAGGUGUGGGGAG
rnacentral:rRNA from 1 species